rnacentral:rRNA from 1 species
AGUCGAGCGAGCGGAACUACAGAUUUACUUCGGUAAUGACGUUAGGAAAGCGAGCGGCGGAUGGGUGAGUAACACGUGGGGAACCUGCCCCAUAGUCUGGGAUACCACUUGGAAACAGGUGCUAAUACCGGAUAAGAAAGCAGAUCGCAUGAUCAGCUUUUAAAAGGCGGCGUAAGCUGUCGCUAUGGGAUGGCCCCGCGGUGCAUUAGCUAGUUGGUAAGGUAAAGGCUUACCAAGGCGAUGAUGCAUAGCCGAGUUGAGAGACUGAUCGGCCACAUUGGGACUGAGACACGGCCCAAACUCCUACGGGAGGCAGCAGUAGGGAAUCUUCCACAAUGGACGCAAGUCUGAUGGAGCAACGCCGCGUGAGUGAAGAAGGUUUUCGGAUCGUAAAGCUCUGUUGUUGGUGAAGAAGGAUAGAGGUAGUAACUGGCCUUUAUUUGACGGUAAUCAACCAGAAAGUCACGGCUAACUACGUGCCAGCAGCCGCGGUAAUACGUAGGUGGCAAGCGUUGUCCGGAUUUAUUGGGCGUAAAGCGAGCGCAGGCGGAAGAAUAAGUCUGAUGUGAAAGCCCUCGGCUUAACCGAGGAACUGCAUCGGAAACUGUUUUUCUUGAGUGCANAAGAGGAGAGUGGAACUCCAUGUGUAGCGGUGGAAUGCGU